rnacentral:lncRNA from 1 species
UGCUGCCUGCUGCUCAAGCGCUAGGACCCAAGUUCGAUCCCCAGUACCAAAAACAAACAAACAAACAAAGAAAAGCAUCCCUUACUCCUGUAGUCAUCUCUCCCAGGACGCCCUUUCCUGACUCUUCCCUCAAUGAAUCCCAAUUUGCUCUCAGAUCUCCCCCAAACAUUACCUCCUAAGGAAAACCAUGUCUGUAAGAGCUCUUGAAACAUCUUGUUCUUGAUAAAUACAAUUCUUUUUUUUUUUCUUUUUGGUACUGGGCAUCGAACUCGGGUCCUUGCGCUUGGGAGGCAGGCAGCAGAUCCACUGAGCUAAAUCCCCAGCCCUUGAUAAAUGCAAUUUUUAUAAUGUCCUGGAAUUAUAUAUUUAUAUUUUAUAUCUUACUGGUGUGGUUGUUACUUAGACCUGUGAGUUCUCUCUCGAAGACUACACCUGUAUUGCUCUGCUGCUGAGGACCCCACUCCUACUAUAAAGGUCCACAGUAGAGUCCAAGAAAUGUCUGUUGAAUAACUAAAUGACUGAUACGUCAUGAAUCAAAGAUUAGGAUUAUUUCAAUUUCACUCUCCAAUGAGUGAACGAAAUAAAUGAAAGGUUCUGUAGCCAAGACUCCUCUGGAUUGCCUUCUCAAUCCCCCGACCAUUACCACCAGCAGAGCUCAGCCCACCCUCCCUGGCCACUCAAGUUUCCAGGCCAGAUUUCAGGAUGGGAACAGUGGUUACCGUAGUCCUUAGGGAGGGGGCAGGUGCGGAGGGGUGCACAACAGGCUUCUGUCGCCGCUCCUGGGUGGGGCUGGGGGCUUCUGGGACAGGUUCAUCCUCUUCCUCCUCUUCUUCCUGCUCCCCUCGGGGCGGAGGGGCCAUCGGGGCAGGAUCUGUCUUAGUCAUGAUCCUCGGUGGCCUUGCUGAGACUGAGGAGACCGCGGGAGUAAUGGGGGGUCGGUGUCGGGGGACCCGUCAGGGGAGGAAAGGGAGACAGAGAGACAGAGAGAAGGGGACGCGGCCCAGACGCCGGAGGGGGAUGGGGG